rnacentral:rRNA from 1 species
GRUAMUUAGCAGAGAUGCUUUGGUGCCUUCGGGAACUCUGAGACAGGUGCUGCAUGGCUGUCGUCAGCYCSUGUUGUGAAAUGUUGGGUUAAGUCCCGCAACGAGCGCAACCCUUAUCCUUUGUUGCCAGCGGUYCGGCCGGGAACUCAAAGGAGACUGCCAGUGAUAAACUGGAGGAAGGUGGGGAUGACGUCAAGUCAUCAUGGCCCUUACGAGUAGGGCUACACACGUGCUACAAUGGCAUAUACAAAGAGAAGCGACCUCGCGAGAGCAAGCGGACCUCAUAAAGUAUGUCGUAGUCCGGAUUGGAGUCUGCAACUCGACUCCAUGAAGUCGGAAUCGCUAGUAAUCGUGGAUCAGAAUGCCACGGUGAAUACGUUCCCGGGCCUUGUUACACACCA